AACUGUGUGAAUUAAUGUGAAUCGCAG
rnacentral:rRNA from 1 species